GUUAGCUAGUGCCUCAGCCGCCCAGUCCUGGAGGUGCCUGGAACAGCCCCGGAGUCUGCGUCGGCCUGGUUAUUUUGGACACAGGUCGAUUGGCCACCAGUCAGCUAAGACUCCUCCUCUGGGGAGCGUCCCCGACCCUUGGGCUACAGUGUGUCCUUCGGAGUGGACGAGCAGGAAUGGGUCCGGUGCUGCAGGGUGUUCAGGUUCAAACAGAAGCAGGCAUCAGCCCAGAACAAGCUGUUGCAGAUAGUGAAGAUGGGAAUAGAGGCAUCUGUCAGACACUAGAAACUGUCUUUGCUUCAGGUGGAGGGCAUAGAUGACCACAAGAAGCAGCAGUCAGGCCAGCUGCAGUACAGGGGCCUGCAUAGGACCCAGGUACAGAAGUGCCGUCAGCGUGCCUGCCAAUGUCUCCUCGUUCUCCAGAUCUCUUCAGGAGGAUGUCUUCUUUCUUACACCAGGCUUCAUCCAGAAGAGGGCACAGGGACAUCCAGUAGGCAGCCUUCACAACAUACAGUUCCAUAUGGUUCCCCCUUGGAGAGAUGCUUCAGAAUGUCCAGCCAUUGUCCUGAACCAGUAGUCACCUGGGCCUCAGGAAAAGCAGAACCUCAUGACUGAGAUUGCUGAAGAGAUGAUAAUUUCAUGGAAACAGACUCACCCUUCCCCAGCCAUGAAGAUUCCUCCAGAGCUACAGAGCCAGGAUUGACAGAAUGAUCAACCAGACUUCAGCCUACUGCAGUAACCUACAAAACAGAUCCUGACUUGUUUACAAACGAAUGGAAUCAUCUUCAUCAAAGUGAGCCCCCUG
rnacentral:lncRNA from 1 species